rnacentral:rRNA from 1 species
UACGGAGGGUGCAAGCGUUAUCCGGAUUCACUGGGUUUAAAGGGUGCGUAGGCGGGUAGGUAAGUCAGUGGUGAAAUCCUGGGAGCUCAACUCCAGAACUGCCAUUGAUACUAUCUAUCUUGAAUAUUGUGGAGGUAAGCGGAAUAUGUCAUGUAGCGGUGAAAUGCUUAGAUAUGACAUAGAACACCCAUUGCGAAGGCAGCUUACUACGCAUAUAUUGACGCUGAGGCACGAAAGCGUGGGGAUCAAACAGGAUUAGAUACCCUGGUAGUCCACGCCCUAAACUAUGGAUACUCGACAUAUGCGAUACACUGUAUGUGUCUGAGCGAAAGCAUUAAGUAUCCCACCUGGGAAGUACGUUCGCAAGAAUGAAACUCAAAGGAAUUGGCGGGGGUCCGCACAAGCGGUGGAGUAUGUGGUUUAAUUCGAUGAUACGCGAGGAACCUUACCUGGGCUAGAAUGCUGGGAGACCGCUAGUGAAAGCUAGUUUUGUAGCAAUACACUGCCAGUAAGGUGCUGCAUGGCCGUCGUCAGCUCGUGCCGUGAGGUGUUGGGUUAAGUCCCGCAACGAGCGCAACCCCUAUCUUUAGUUGCCAACAGGUAAUGCUGGGAACUCUAAAGAAACUGCCGCCGUAAGGUGUGAGGAAGGAGGGGAUGAUGUCAGGUCAUCAUGGCCUCUAUGCCCAGGGCUACACACGUACUACAAUGGGGGAGACAAAGGGCUGCAACAUAGCGAUAUGAAGCCAAUCCCAAAAACUCCCUCUCAGUUCAGAUUGCAGGCUGCAACUCGCCUGCAUGAAGCUGGAAUCGCUAGUAAUCGUAUAUCAGCAAUGAUACGGUGAAUACGUUCCCGGACCU